AUACUGCGGGGUGAAACGGACAUGCGCAGUUCUGUACUUAGCUACAGAGCUUUGAGCACUAUUUCGUUUGAUCCGACAUACAUCUCAGAGACAGAACAUGUCCUGUAAUGACGAUGGAGGUAUGGGGACGAAGGACAUGAACGUGACCCAGAUUGGGUCGAACAAUGAGGUUUGGAUACAGAGAGUGAUGGGGGACGUCUGCAUUAUCUUGAUGAACGUCCCGCCGGCAGACCUGAAGCAGGCCCAGAAUUCUGUGGCAAAUGGUGAAGUCCUUGGCAACUUGCUUUCGAGAGUGAAGAUCAGCUGCCUGGGAAAGCGGAUGAAACGCAGACCAAGGUCAGCACCAGGAGGGACGAAAUUCCACAUGACUCUGAGAAGUCAUUGUAGAGGUCCAUAGAUGAUACAUACCUGUAUUUAAGCAAAAACAAACACGAAAACAAAAACAAAAACGGUCCUUGAUGGUGCAUACCUGUACUCGAAGAAAAACAAAAGUGUGAAAAAAACACACAAAAAACCCCAAGCAUUUUUGGGGGUGGAGUGGUGGUGCCAACAGAGAUACUAUUUUGUCGGUCACUGUCACAGUGAAAACGCACCACCACCCCUCUCAUACAGCAAGGUCUUGCAGCUAAAGCCAAGAAAGUACCCAUUGCUGAGAGUCUGAAGUAUUGUUCAGAAACAGGUAACAAAUGUAUGUCGCUAAUGCUGUCCAAAACAGGUGGUACCCACAAAAGUGGUAUAAAUACGCCUUAGACCGCGACACUAGCCAAAGGACCGUCUGCGCCUAUAGAUAGCUAUACUGAACAAAGACACUAUAUUUCCUUGAUCAGUAUAUGUUCGGAAACAGGCCAACAACAAACAAAAAAGGGAAAAAAAGACUCAUAGUGGAAAAAAAAGCAAAAAAAAGCGAAUGAUUUUCAUGCAUGUUGUUCCUACAUUUAGUUACUAGCUUCAGUGUUGUUUUUAGAAUCUAUGUAGAUGAUCCACAUGUGCACUGGUCCAUCGACUUGUGUCGACCAAAUCGGGCUUUUACAUAAUGUCCGUUGUCAGUUGGGACUGGACUAUUUCUUAGUCACAUAAGUAUAUAUUUUAUUUAUAUGAUCCUUACUGGCUUAUCCCAAUAUUUCUUUGAUUGGCAAAGGCAUUCAGUAUUAAAAUGUCACAUUUUGGCAUCUGAUAUGAGAAAAGGCUUUGAAAAUUAUUAUGACGAUAAAUACUUAAAUCAAAUAAAGCGUUAUGGAAAAGUAUUGAAGUAGCCUGAAGUACAAUUAUGAAUGAUUUGCCGGGCCAUCUAAUACAACUGCCUAUGAACAAAAAGACAACCUUCAUUCGUUUUCAUUCCGUUUCGAGAAUGAAGAUGUCGUGCUUGUUCAUGGGACAUGAUUUAAGGAAUACAGUUCGCUCAACCCCAAUGUAUAGUGUAAUCAAGUACACUUUUGCCCUGAACUAUUAUAGUGAAAGUACGAGGACGCUUGCGUUCGAGUGAUUUAACAUUUUAUCAGUGUGUUAUGCAAACCAUUAAACAGGGUGCUACGGAGUAGUUUACUGUAGUAGUUUACUGUAGGUGACUAGGAUAACCUGAACUAUUUGUAUAACAUGUGUCACAUGAGAAAAGGAGGACAGUUUAUAGGACUUUUUACAUGGUAUUCUUUCUAAACACCGAUGAAAUAUUUGUUCAAAAUUGUCACUAUCAUUUCACGUUAAACGAUAGUUUGACUGAUGUUUGAUUAGAGGUACAUUUCUUUGUAAUGCAUUACACUGACGACGGUUGUCCCACAACAUGUCUUUUUUUGCUUUUUUUUUGGUUGCCUUGUACGGAAUUACUACGGUAAUAAAAUGUACAAAACAAA